rnacentral:rRNA from 1 species
CUUACCAACGUUUGACAUCCCUAUCGCGGAUCGUGGAGACACUUUCCUUCAGUUCGGCGGAUAGGUGACAGGUGCUGCAUGGCUGUCGUCAGCUCGUGUCGUGAGAUGUUGGGUUAAGUCCCGCAACGAGCGCAACCCUCGCCUUUAGUUGCCAGCAUUUAGUUGGGUACUCUAAAGGAACCGCCGGUGAUAAGCCGGAGGAAGGUGGGGAUGACGUCAAGUCCUCAUGGCCCUUACGCGUUGGGCUACACACGUGCUACAAUGGCGACUACAGUGGGCAGCCACCUCGCGAGAGGGAGCUAAUCUCCAAAGUCGUCUCAGUUCGGAUCGUUCUCUGCAACUCGAGAGCGUGAAGGCGGAAUCGCUAGUAAUCGCGGA